rnacentral:misc_RNA from 1 species
GCGACAGCGAGCGCGCGCGCGUGCUGCGCGCGGCGGAUCGGUAUCUCGGCGAGAAGCCGAUCACCGUUACCGCGACGAGCAGCCCGCGCAGCGCGGGCGGACGCCACGAUUUCUUUUCAGAAGGGGAUUACUGGUGGCCCGAUCCGAAGAACCCCGACGGUCCCUACAUCCGGCGCGACGGCGAGACCAACCCCGAUAACUUCGUCGGCCAUCGGCAGGCGAUGGUGCGUCUCAGCCUGCAGGUGCCCGCACUGGUCGCGGCGUGGCGCAUCACAGGCGAACGGCGCUAUGCCGAUCACGCGGCGCGGCACCUCCGCGCAUGGUUCGUCGAUCCCGACACGGUGAUGAACCCGCACCUGCUCUACGGCCAGGCCAUCAAAGGGCACUUCACGGGGCGCGGCAUCGGCAUCAUCGACACGCUGCAUCUGGUGGAGGUCGCGCGUGCCGCGAGCGUGCUCGACGAUGAGAUGCCACCGGCCGAUCGCGCGGAAGUGCGGCGUUGGUUCACGAACUAUCUCACCUGGAUGACGACGCACCAGUACGGGAUCGACGAGCGCAACGCGCAGAACAAUCACGGCACGUGCUGGGUCGCGCAGGCGGCGGAGUUCGCGAGGUACACGGGCGACGCGAAAUUGAUGGCCUAUUGCCGCGAUCGGUACAAGACCGUGCUGCUGCCCGGCCAGAUGGGGCCAGAU